UACGUAGGGGGGCUAGCGUUGUCCGGAAUCAUUGGGCGUAAAGAGCGUGUAGGCGGCCCGGUAAGUCCGCUGUAAAAAGUCAAAAGGCUCAACCUUUGAAUGUCAGUGGAUACUGCCGGGCUAGAGUCCGGAAGAGGCGAGUGGAACUCCUGGUGUAGCGGUGGAAUGCGCAGAUAUCAGGAAGAACACCAACGGCGAAGGCAGCUCGCUAGGACGGUACUGACGCUGAGACGCGAAAAGCGUGGGGAGCGAACAGG
rnacentral:rRNA from 1 species